CUUGAACCCAAGGCUAUGACUUUAAGAUACAGCAUUUCAAAUGUUCUUAGGCCUUAUGUGAAUAAGAUACAAUUCAGGCAAUCAAAUUUACACACAAAGCCAGCAUCUAUUUCAAGAUGGCGUAUUUUUCUCCAUAAACUUUUUUCUGUAAGCUUGCCAGAAGAAGUCAUGGCUCCCAAUCAAAGAAAAGUAUAUGUAGUUGGUGUGGGAAUGACAAAGUUCACUAAGCCUGGCUCUACUGGAAAUGACUACCCAGAUUUUGCCAAGGAAGCAGUUACAAAAGCCUUGCAAGAUGCUAAAAUAGCAUAUGAUGCUGUGCAGCAAGCCUGUGUCGGUUAUGUUUAUGGGGAUUCAACUUGCGGACAAAGAGCCUUGUAUGAGGUUGGAAUGUCAGGUAUACCAAUUAUAAAUGUGAAUAAUAAUUGUUCUACAGGAUCUACUGCUUUGUUUAUUGCCAAAGAAUUAGUUGAAGGUGGUAUUUGUGAUUGUGCCCUUGCUCUUGGUUUUGAAAAAAUGGCAAAAGGCUCUUUAACAUCAAAAUUUGAUGAUCGGACUAACCCAAUGGAUAAACAUGUCUUGGUUUUAUCUAAUCGCCAUGGAUUUGCAGCUGCGCCAGUCGCAGCUCAGUUUUUUGGUAGUGCUGGUCGGGAACACAUGGAAAAGUAUGGUACUAAACCUGAACAUUUCGCUAAAAUUGCCUACAAAAACCAUAAGCAUUCAGUAAACAAUCCAUAUUCUCAAUUCCGUGAUGAAUAUUCUUUGGAACAAAUAAUGAACUCUCCUGUUGUUUAUGAGCCACUAACAAAAUUACAGUGCUGUCCAACGUCUGAUGGUGCAGCUGCUGCUAUUCUUGCAAGUGAAGAUUUUGUGAAAACUCAUGGAUUAGAAAGUCAAGCUGUUGAAAUUUUGGGAAUGGAAAUGACAACAGAUGUUCCAAGUGCUUUUGAAGAGAACAGUAGCAUAAAAAUGAUUGGAUUCGACAUGACCAAAAAUGCUGCCGAUAGACUGUUUAAAAAAACGGGAGUAAAGCCGACAGAUGUUGACGUAGUGGAAUUACACGAUUGCUUUGCUACAAAUGAGCUCAUUACUUAUGAAGCCCUGGGCUUAUGUGAAGUGGGUAGAGGUGGUGAGUUGGUUGAUACUGGCAAUAACACAUAUGGUGGAAAAUAUGUUGUUAAUCCUAGUGGUGGAUUGAUUUCAAAAGGUCAUCCUUUGGGAGCUACUGGUUUAGCACAGUGUUCGGAAUUAUGUUGGCAGUUACGAAAUCAAGCUGGGAAUAGGCAGGUGCCCAAUGCGAAAUUGGCAUUGCAGCAUAAUAUUGGACUGGGUGGGGCAGUUGUUGUUACUUUAUACAGAUUGGGUUUUCCUAGUUCAAGUGAUUCUGAUAUUGUUCCUCCUAAAGAAAUCUUCAAACUAAAAUCUGCUAAGUUUUUUGAGAGAAGUAUCCCAUUGAUAAAAACAGCUGAAGGCAUGGUUGAUAAAAGAUUGAAAGCAUCUGCUAAAAUCAGAGUUAAUGAUGAUAAUUCUGAUUACGUUGCAGAAGGAUGCAUAGGCGUUGAUAAGGGUAAGAUCUUUGUGUCUUUCGAUCCGAACACUAAAACAGAUCUCGUUAUAACGAUCGGAGAUGGAGCUUUAUUUGAUAUUUUAAAUAAGAAGUCUACUUUUGAAAAGGCAUUUUUUGCUGGGAAAUUAAAAAUUAAAGGAAAUAUGGGACUAAUCACCAGAUUCAUGUCAUUGAAAAAUGUUUUGUUGUCUAAGCUGUAAAUGAAAUUAAUUAUGACUUAACUGUCUAAAAGUAAAUGUAUUAAUACAUAGGACAAAAAUUAUUUCAGUAUAUAACAGUUAUUUUUCAGUUAGUGCCAUUUUAAGUUAAAUUUUUGUUUUGGACUGUCAUAAGUUCGUUAAAUCUUUACAACUGUUUUUUUCUUCCCUCAUCUAGUCUUGCAUUAAAAUCUCUUAAUGUAUUGUUGUAAUAUAGGAUCAUCAUUGCAAAAUUCAAAGCUAAAUUUUAUGGCUUUUGUUUUUCAUAAUCAAAAACCAGAUUGAUCUUUAUAAGAAAAUAAUUUAAUGCUUGUCAGUCUUGAUAGUUUAUUUAUUUAUGCAGAUUUUUUUAAACAUAAUAUUUGUGUGAUUUAUGAAGUGAUUUUCUAAUUUGUUAAAGUAGCUGUUACAAAAAAUACCAAAGAACUCUUUGUUUAUACUUUUGUUUUAUUAUUUUUUUCUUGCUACGUCAUUUAAAUGUUUGUGGAUGAAUAAUUAUAAAAUACAUUUUAAAACAUUCUAGAUAAAAAGUUUAUUGAAUCGAUUACAUUUUUAAUUCAGUAAAAUCAUUCUAACCAUAGCUACUUUAAUUUUUAUGGGAGAUAUAUUGAAACCAAAUUUGAGAAAAAGAAAUUUUUAGAAAUUAAAUGAUAGUUAGCUCCAUAAUGAAAAUAUAUUAAAAUGUGAUUUAGAAUUAUAUAUUUUUUCAGUUAUAAAAUAUUUUAUUGUUGUAUAUUGUCACUAGUCUUUUUUUAUGCCAAAGACUUUUUUUCUUGUUUUCAUUAGUAGUUUAAUUUGUUAAGGCUGUGAGAUAUAAUUUUAAAGUUUAUUUACCGAUAGUUAACUUUUUUUGGAGCUUUAUGAAGUCAGUAAGUCAUAGUUCUGAAAUAAAAUUAAAAUAUCUUUAUUUUAAUAUAAUUUUCUUCUGGAUUAGAUAUGUUUUUAUUUUGAUGUAUGUACCUUUUCUUUAAAAAUCUUUUCCAUUGUGAAUGGCAAAAUAUCACAUUUUUAUAUUUGUCUUGUUUCUUUCUGUUCCUCGUUUCUGAAACAUUAUUUCGUUUCUUAAAGAUUUAGUUAUUUUCUUCAUAUGCUUAUAUCUAUUUUAUGUAUUUUAGUGUGUCUUGCUCUGAAUAAAAAAAAUAUUUAUAACCCUGUUUUUAUAUUCGUCAUACUUCUUUCUGUUCCUCAUUUCAAAAACGUUAUUUAGUUUCUAAAAAUAAAAAAAAAUAAAAAAUUCGUAUUUAGUAUCUAUUUUGAGUAUCCUAGUGUGUCUUGCUCCGAAUGAAAAAAUAUUUAUAACUGUAGGAUUUUUAAUUACUGACAUUUAACUGGAAAUUUGCUUAUAAUUUAUGAUGGUCUUAUUAUUUAGGAUCAUAAGGUAAUAUAUAGCAAAAUAAAUUAAUUUGUAUGCCAAAA
rnacentral:misc_RNA from 1 species